GACUCAGUGGCCCAAUGGUAAAGCGCUCGUCGCGAAUCCAGAGGGUCAUAAGUUCGAUCCCUGACGGGGUCG
rnacentral:tRNA from 1 species